rnacentral:lncRNA from 1 species
GUGUUUUUUCCUUUGCUCCUAGGGCAGGGAACAUCACAAUCCCGUUCCCCUCUUGCUUUACCAACACCAACCUACUUCUAGCUAGCACCAGUUGGCCUCCCUGUAAGGUAGGCCCCAUAAUACUCCAGCCAUGUUCUAAUUUUCAGGCCUACAUAAGAACUAGAGAAUGCUCUCUGUGACCCAUCUCACCUGGCUAUAGACUCCUGGACUUGUAUUUGUCUUAUAUGGCACUUACUCAAUCGGCAUCUGCUCCUUUUCUUAGUCUCAGCACGCACAACUGAAGUCCACAUGGCAUGCCCAGGGCCUGGCCCAGGUCUGGUGUUGGUAGUCAUAACAACCUACCUGGAAGCCUCUGUUGUGCUUUAUGUCUCUGCCUGGGCGGAGACAUCAUUUCUUACAUGUUUCAUCUCUCAUAUGAGAUCAAGUGCCAAGCCAAGGGUGCGGAAGAGAAGGAGAGGGACUUAUUAAGAUACCAACUGCCAACCCCUCCUCCAAACUUCCUAACUCAGGUGAGUGGGCUGAGAAUGUGAAUAGCUAAUGAGUUCCCAGGAGCUACUACUGAUGCUGGUCUAAGGAUCUCACUCUAAAUAACACUAAUCUGAGGCUGGGAAGCUGGAGCAACCAGUAAAGUUCUUGCCUUGAAAGCAUAAGGACCUGUCUUCAAUUAAAACAAAACAGUCAGGUAUUGAUGGGGAUGGUUGCGCACGCCUUUAAUUCUAGCGCUCAGGAAGCAGAGGCAGGCAGACUUCUAAGAGUUUGAGGUCAGCCUGGUCUAGACAGUGAGUUCCAGGCCAGCCAGGGAUCUACAGUGAGAACAUGAUGAGAGAGAGAGAAAGUGAGUGAGAGAGACAGAAAGAGAGAGAGAGAGACAGAGAAAUUAGACAGGGCAGACAGUUGCUGUGAACUUAAAUAUUUGGGCAGACAUGAAUUCACCAUACUUAACAAAGAAAAAGUGAAGGCACGCAGUUAGUAUUGAAUUUGAGAUAAAUAAUGAAUAUUACAUGAGACAUACUAAAAAAUGCGGAUCUAAAAUUAAAACAGCUAGUAUCUUUUGGUUUUAUUUGCUAAUAGCAGUAUACCAGUUGCCUGCCUCCUACCCUUCAGGCCUGCUCCCUAAGGAAAGCCAACACCAGCUAUGCUGCAUCCUGUCCCACUAGGACUGGUGGAGAGGCUCUGCUCCUGGCAGCCAGUCUUGCUUCUUAUGACAUGUGAUCACAGCUGCAGGCCUGGCUCAAAGCGUCCAUUCACCUCAGGCUGGGUUCACUCGCAAGGAAGUAGUGGGACAAAGUAAAUAGUCACUGAACCUGCCUGUGGAUUCAGAAGCGUAUAGGCUACAAAAUUCCAUACAGAAGGCAGUGCCACCUCUAAUCUUGGAUUAAUGAGAAAAUGACAGCCAGCAGUGGUAUAGGCCAAAGCUAGUACACGCACCCAGG